rnacentral:rRNA from 1 species
CGGACGGGUGAGUAAUGUCUGGGAAACUGCCUGAUGGAGGGGGAUAACUACUGGAAACGGUAGCUAAUACCGCAUAACGUCGCAAGACCAAAAGAAGGGGGGACCGUUCGGGCCUCUUGCCAUCGGAUGUGCCCAGAUGGGAUUAGCUAGUAGGUGGGGUAACGGCUCACCUAGGCGACGAUCCCUAGCUGGUCUGAGAGGAUGACCAGCCACACUGGAACUGAGACACGGUCCAG